CAGUGACAGAAGAUAAAGUGAUAGAGGAUUGCAAGAUGGGCGAUCUAGAUCCAAGUCGAGGGACUUCAGCAAGGUCAGAUGUUAUCGAUGUGAUGAAUUGAAACAUCGAAUCAGAGAUUGCUCACAAUUCAAACAUCAGAUGAAAGCCAGUUAGUAUGAUGGCAGUCCAUGAUAGCGACACUGAUGAGACUGAUGAUGUGCUUAUAGUCUUAGAUA
rnacentral:lncRNA from 1 species